rnacentral:rRNA from 1 species
UACGUAGGGGGCUAGCGUUGUCCGGAAUCAUUGGGCGUAAAGCGCGUGUAGGCGGUCCGGUAAGUCCGCUGUGAAAGUCGGGGGCUCAACCCUCGAAUGCCGGUGGAUACUGUCGGGCUAGAGUGCGGAAGAGGCGAGUGGAAUUCCUGGUGCAGCGGUGAAAUGCGCAGAUAUCAGGAGGAACACCUAUUGCGAAGGCAGCUCGCUGGGACGUAACUGACGCUGAGACGCGAAAGCGUGGGGAGCAAACAGG